CUGGGACAAAAGGGGGUUCAAGUGGCUCUCCUGUAAUUGGCUGGCAGGGCAGAGCAGUUGCUUUGAAUGCUGGGAGCAAGUCAUCAAGUGCCUUUGCAUUUUUCCUCCCUUUAGAGCGAGUUGUAAGGGCUUUAAAAUUUUUGCAAGAAGGAAGAGAUUCUGCAAACAAAUGGGAGGCAGUCACUAUUCCUCGUGGUAGGCUUCAGGUGACUUUGUCCAUAAAGGAUUUGACGAGACCCGCCGGCUUGGUCUUCGAAGUGAAACAGA